GAUGAAGAACGCAGCGAAAUGCGAUAAGUAGUGUGAAUUGCAGAAUUCAGUGAAUCAUCGAAUCUUUGAACGCACAUUGCGCCCGCCAGUAUUCUGGCGGGCAUGCCUGUCCGAGCGUCAUUUCAACCCUCGAACCCCUCCGGGGGGUCGGCGUUGGGGAUCGGCCCUGCCUCUUGGCGGUGGCCGUCUCCGAAAUACAGUGGCGGUCUCGCCGCAGCCUCUCCUGCGCAGUAGUUUGCACACUCGCAUCGGGAGCGCGGCGCGACCACAGCCGUUAAACACCCAACUUCUGAAAUGUUGACCUCGGAUCAGGUAGGAAUACCCGCUGAACUUAAGCAUAUCAAUAAGCGGAGGA
rnacentral:misc_RNA from 1 species